rnacentral:rRNA from 1 species
AAUGUAGCGGCCAAGCAAAGCGUUAGCUCACUGGGGGAGUACGCCGGCAACGUGAAACUUCAAAAGGAAUGACCGGGUCCGCACAGCGGAGGAAACAAUGUGGUUUAAUUCGAUGAUACGCGAGGAACCUUUACCCGGGCUUGAACUGCAAGAGAACGAUACAGAGAUGUUGAGGCCCUUCGGGGCUCCUGUGGAGGUGCUGCAUGGUUGUCGUCAGCUCGUGCCCGUGAGGUGUCGGCUUAAGUGCCAUAACGAGCGCAACCCCCUUCGCCAGUUGCCAUCAGGUGAUGCUGGGCACUCCGGCGACACUGCCACCGCAAGGUGCGAGGAAGGUGGGGAUGACGUCAAAUCAGGCACGGCCCUUACGUCCGGGGCUACACACGUGUUACAAUGGGAGGUACAGAGAGUGUAGGUCGCAUGGCAAUAUGCAUCUAAUCCUUAAAGCCUUCCUCAGUUCGGAUUGGGGUCUGCAACCCGACCCCAUGAAGCUGGAUUCGCUAGUAAUCGCGCAUCAGCCAUGGCGCGGUGAAUACGUUCCCGGGCCUUGUACACACCGCCCGUCAAGCCAUGAAAGCCGGGGGCGCUUGAAGUCCGUGACCGCAAGGAUCGGCCUAGAGCGAAACUGGUAAUUGGGGCUAAGUCGUAACAAGUGCC